rnacentral:misc_RNA from 1 species
AGCAAAAAAAUUGGCAACAAACACACUAAAAAGGAACACUCAAGCUUGAAUAUUCUGAGAUAUGAACCUAUAAACAGAUAUACUUUAUCUAUACACAUUAUAACCAAUGAAAAACUUUUUUUUUUCUUUCAUAUACAUAAGCUUUGAAUAGCUCGGAAAUUUAAACGAAAAACUGGCAAACUUCACUUCACUUUUCAGAAACAUAUCCAACUUCAAGUUUUUCAGCAUCAUUUGAUCUUCAUCGGAACUGUAGAAACGCGUCAUCUUGCUUUCAAUAGCUUCUAAGAUGCCACUUCCUGUUUGUCAAUGCUUGUUUCAACUUUGUUUAUCCCUUUCAGUGCAGUUAGUUUAUCAGCUGCUUCGUAUGAUAGCUUUCGAGGCUUCAUAGCACGUUUCCGAUUGGCAGAAGUUGAUUUAACAGAAACUGGUGUUUUUGUUGUUUGAGUUUUAUAACUUUUAGGAGUCUUGCUUGCUGUUCUAUUGGCAAUUUUUGGACUUGAUUGAACAGGGAUUCGGCUUUCCCAUGGUCGAGCAGCGAUCCAGCGAUCUUUCCAGCUCCAGCCCCAAUUAGCUUUGCCUAAAUCAUGGAUACUUGAUCCAAACAUUGGGUUGGAAUUGGCUCUCCACUGAUGAGAAAAUGCAUAUGCCAUAGUUCUUUCCCGCUUCACUGCUGCUGCUUCUCUCUGAUGUAUCCUUGAUAGAACCACUUCCAUUGUUUCAGGGCCACCAUUCCACUCUACCUCUAAGUUAUGAAGCUUUGCCUCUAGCUUCAACUGAUUCUCCAGUUUCUUCUGCUUAAGACGUCCUUCUAUGACCAUACGAACUCGACAAGCUCUAAUCUCAGCUUGUAUCCUGUUCCAUGAAUGGAGAGCGCUCAAGGUUGUCGAAGCUUGUUUUUUCACAGAAGGGCCUUGUAUCAUCGAACGUAACCUUGAUAUCCGUUUCAAGCGACGCAAAGUUUUCCUUGCCAUAUAUGCACGGAAAGCUGUCUGAAUCCUUAUGGCUGCGUUAUCUUCAGAAGGAAUUCCCAUUUCUCUGUGCUUUUUGACAGAGGCACCAUUUGUUCUUCUUGAAGGCUCUUUCUGAGAGUGUUCAUCCUCCUUGCGUCCAAUAGAAGUUCCCUUUAAUCUUUUCGAUCUGCCAUCUUUUGCUUUUCUCAAACUGAUUACCUUUUUAAGCCAGUAUCCAGAACCCAUUGCAGAUGCUUG